rnacentral:rRNA from 1 species
GACGGAGGAUGCAAGUGUUAUCCGGAAUCACUGGGCGUAAAGCGCCUGUAGGUGGUUUAAUAAGUCAACUGUUAAAUCUUGAGGCUCAACCUCAAAAUCGCAGUCGAAACUAUUAGGCUAGAGUAUAGUAGGGGUAAAGGGAAUUUCCAGUGGAGCGGUGAAAUGCGUAGAGAUUGGAAAGAACACCGAUGGCGAAGGCACUUUACUGGGCUAUUACUAACACUCAGAGACGAAAGCUAGGGUAGCAAAUGGG